AAACGAUGCAUCGGGCAUUUUCUAAUUAAUUCCUUGAAACACUCACAUGCUUCGUAUAAUGUCUCAUCUUCAGAUUGCCUAAAGGAUGUAAUGUAAUUCCUCAGCUU
rfam:Gossypium raimondii chromosome 6, whole genome shotgun sequence.